rnacentral:rRNA from 1 species
GACGAACCGUGCAAACGUUAUUCGGAUUCACUGGGUUUAAAGGGUGCGUAGGCGGGUAAGUAAGUCCGUGGUGAAAUCUCUGAGCUUAACUCAGAAACUGCCGUGGAUACUAUUUGCCUUGAAUAUUGUGGAGGUGAGCGGAAUAUGUCAUGUAGCGGUGAAAUGCUUAGAUAUGACAUAGAACACCAAUUGCGAAGGCAGCUCACUACACAAUCAUUGACGCUGAGGCACGAAAGCGUGGGGAUCAAACAGG